rnacentral:sRNA from 1 species
CUACCAUCGUAACCAACCGUCUUACCAAGCAGCCCAAAGAAUCCAAAACUCUUCUAGAGACUCAGCUAAAGCUGGUUCGAAAAUGUACUCUCUUGUUCUCUCUGCAGAGUUAUCAGGGCAAGUAUUCCUCAUUCCUUUGUUUUAUCAUCCACAUGUGGGAUUUCCAGCUUGCUCUCCCUGCCAACAUAACUUACCCCGCCGCCGUUAUCCCAGCUGUUACCACAAUCUGUACCGAUAUUGUAUCUGAUAUAUUUUCGUGAUUUUGAUUUAUAUGUGACAAUUUGGUUCACAAAUACAAGCAAACUCCGAACAUUUGAUAAAAUCCAGCAGUCGUACUAGUAGGGACAGCUGAUUCUGGAUAUUAAUUUCUUCCUUUCUUUUUUAUUUUAAACAAUAAAUAUAGGGUCACCAAUCUCCGCCCGAAGGACACCGAAGAGAACCCUUACUUCUACACGUUUAAGGUGCAAUGCACGUCAUGUCGAGAGGUUCACCCUAACUGGGUCAGUUUUAAUAGAUUUGAGAAACUUGAGGUCCCUGGCAGUCGGGGUGAGGCAAAUUUCGUAUGGAAAUGUAGACUCUGUACGAGGACGCAUUCCGCCUCGAUCACAAACCCACCCACCGCAUACGAAGAAUCGAACAGCAAGGGCCAAAAGGUCAUUGAGUUCGAUUGUCGAGGGCUCGAGUUCACGGAGUUUAAGGCUGAUGGAGAGUGGGAAGCAAAGGGAGCAGAAUCGUCGACGGUGUUUUCAGGUAUCGACAUUAGCGACGGUGAGUGGUAUGAUUACGAUGAGAAGACAGGUGAAGAGGUUAGUAUCAAAGAUGUCAGUUGGGAAAUUCGCAGAGCAUGAGUGACUCAAGGAUGAAAGGAGCUAUUUGGCCAUGGAAGAAGGUCCAUGGGCUUUCUGGGGGGACGGGGAAAAUACCUAGGUAUGAUCAACGUCGGCACACGUCAAAAGUAAGGCCAAAUCUGUAUGCAACU